rnacentral:rRNA from 1 species
AUGCUUCUCCUAAAGACUAAGCCGUGCAUGCCCCGAAUAUGAGGAAGCAAUUCUCUCUGAAUCUGCGAACGGCUCCGCAAACCAGUUGUAAACCAAAGCAAGCUUGCUCGGGUUGGGCUUCGGCCUGGCCUGGGUGAUACGGAUAACCCUGGUAAUUCUAAGGCUAAUACGUGUAUGUAACACCCGGUGGACCGGCUUCGGCUGGGAAAUCGGGAGACGAGUGAUGGAAUGUUUGGAUUACCAGGAACGGGCA